UUUCGUGAUGGCAUUAAAACUUUGUGGCCUAAUAUUUCAAUGAUGAUCACACUCACAGUCAUUAUUCUUACAAUU
rnacentral:snoRNA from 1 species